CUGCACUAGUCGGGGAGAUAGCGGUGCCCUGUAACCCGCAAUCCGCUACAGCGGGGAUGAACUCCCGACGGAGGGUGCACACUGUGUCGUCUGACCCCAAUAAGUGGUGUUGAGGAUUCGGUCUCGCGCAACGAGGUCCCGUGAACCAUGUCAGGCGGGGAACCGAGCAGCAUUAAGCGGAUCGCCUCGUGUGCCGCGAGGGCGCCGUGUCUGAGCUGGCUGUUGGGGUAACGGGUGGAGUGUGCAUUCGAUGGAGGGUGUGCAG
rnacentral:SRP_RNA from 1 species